rnacentral:misc_RNA from 1 species
UUUUUUGCAAACUUUCUUUCACUUUUCAUUUCAUUGAACUCAAAUUGAUUUCUUUUUGUGCCCAUUCCCUUUGAUAACAAAAAUGUGGUAGAACAUGGAUGAAUGAUGGAUGGAUGCAUGGUUUCAAGGGUCACCUUGGAAUAAACGGUAGCCAAGGAGUUAUCACACCACAAGGUACUCUUGACUAGGCCUUAAACCAUGGGUCAAAGGAUUCUAGCAUGACACAUCCUAGGGUGUUUUACAAGUAUUCUAACAAGCAAAGUCUUAAGAAUAAAAAACAUCUACUAGGGCCUAUAUACACUUGUCAAGCUUCCCAAGUAGACGGUUUCGCAAAUUUUUUUUAACAUGCAACUAUAUCUCAUGAUGCAACUAGCAUAUAAACAUCCUAAUGCAAGUGAUUCUACCAACUAAUAUGACAUUUAAUCUAAAUGCAAUCCUAAGUUCACAUUGUUUUAACCGCAUCACUCAAAAUAAAGCCACAAAGUCAUUAACAUAAAGAGGAAAAAUGAGAUUGGAAAGAUCAUACCAUGCGGUCUUCAAUAUCCUCAUGUCUCGGAUGUGGCGUAGUCGAUCAAUGUGAACAAGGAUGAACAAACACAAUAUAUACAAGACAAUUUAUACAAAAGG